GUCUACAGCCAUACCACCCUGAACGUGCCCGAUCUCGUCUGAUCUCAGAAGCUAAGCAGGGUCGGGCCUGGUUAGUACUUGGAUGGGAGAUACAAAGUGAUCAGAGUAUCUCACACC
rnacentral:rRNA from 1 species